UGAGCCCCCCGGGGCAGGCAGGCUGACGGGAGGCGUCGCGGCCCUCCCCCGCCGCCUUCGCUCCGCAGCGCGCCCUCCGGUCCUCACCGCGCCGUGCCCAGGGGGCCGCCCAGUCACCUGCAUUGCGGCUUCCGACCCCGCGGCGGUGGGCCCGACUUCCGGGCCCUCCCCGUUCGCCGGGAGCGAGCUUGGGGGUGGGGGUAGGUGUUUAAUUUUGUGAAAGGGGGAAAGUGAAAGUCUUCGGAAGGAAGGAGGCGCGGCAGAUAUACAUAUUCAUCGGCCAGUCUGGACCCUGGGCGCACCGCGCAGCAGGAUACAUGCUUCAUGAAAGCAGGCUCUCUCUGCCCUCAAUUCAACUGCCAGUGCCUGGCAUAGUGCCUAGCCCAUAGUAGGCUGUCCAUAAGAACUUGUGGGAAAAAAAUGAAGAUUUCGUACUUCUUUACUUUGCUAAUGUAACCAGCCACAACCACUGUCCUGUAUGACAGACAAUAGAGGGACUUGGCUGAACAUGCACAGACAUUAUGAAGAAUAAUCAUACAUACCUUCCUAAUGUAGCAUGGAACACUGUGCAUUGAUGAAGAUGCUGAUGGACAGACGGAACCUGGAAAGAGAGCAAGCACAAUGUUUAUGUCCUAAAGACACACUCUUGGACAAGAGAUGAGGCUACGGGAAGAUCUGUCCAUGGCCUGGAAGGGCUGGAGAACACAUGACCCCCACCCAGGGUGAGGAAAGUGCCUUCAACAGCCCUCCCCACACUUGUGUGAGGACCCAGAGUGGGGUCCUGCCCCUCGGGGGCUCCUGGGCUGGGAAAAAACAUUCAGAGGGACUGAUGUCCAUUUUCAUACCACUUUUAAGCUUACUGAAAAUUAUUUUAAAAUUGGUUUCAAGGCCGGGUGCGGUGGCUCACGCCUGUAAUCCUAGCACUCUGG